UUUCAGGAAUCAUGCCGAAAUCAUUGUACGCAACCUAUUGGCGAGUUUGAGCCUUAUCCAAGAAUAAAUGAGAAAGCUGACGCAAAUGUCACUUUACACUGCAGAGGAAUGAACACGCUAAUAAUUAAACAUCAUCCUCCUGGAAGCUAUAUUAUUCAACAAAGCGUUUCCGUCGACACUUGGGGUCCAACCAUAGUGAGCAAUGGCGGAUUAUCGACCUUUUCAAAUUUGACACCAGGUACACUUUAUCGUUAUCGUUUACAUAGAAUAACACAGCGCGGCUUCUCAUCAGCCAAGAUGUCGGAUUGGUUUUCAACUU